UUCAAAUUAAGUUUGUUUCUGUUUGUGUAUGAAAUAAAAUCGAGGUUCGAAACACAAUAUUUUUAAAUAUUGAAAAAAAGUUUAUGAAAUUUAAUUUGUUUUGAUAAUAUUUGACUCUACCAAAAAAUUUUGAAAGAUGUUUCGUAUGCCACCACAAAUGGACCCAGAGGAGGAGUCCAAAAGAGCACGAGAAGCAGUAAAAUCUAAUGUUUUAACCUUUAUAUUACUUUGCGCUGUAAUAAGAAUAGCUCCAAUGGUUAUAGACAAGAUUGGAAUGGAUUGAUGAAUCAGCACUAAGAUAUGUAAAUUUUAAUUAUAAAUAUUAGUUUUACGUAAAUAGUUACAUACAUAAGUAUAAUGAUUAGUAAUUUUUGAAUUGAAAAAAUUAUAUUUGUUAUUUUCGAAUCACUUUUAUCAAGAUUCAUAAUAAAAAUUACUUUCAAACCAUA